GACGAACGCUGGCGGCGUGCCUAAUACAUGCAAGUCGAACGCAGUGGGGACGGGUGAGUAACACGUGGGUAACCUCCCAUCAGAGGGGAUAACACUUGGAAACAGGUGCUAAACCGAUAUUUGUGGAUGGACCCGCGGUGCAUUAGCUGGGUGGGGGGGGAACGGCUGACCAAGGCCACGAGUCAUAGCGGGCCUGAGAGGGUGAUCGGCCACACUGGGACUGAGACACGGCCCAGACUCCUACGGGAGGCAGCAGUAGGGAAUCUUGGGCAAUGGGCGAAAGUCUGACCGAGCAACGCCGCGUGAGUGAAGAAGGUUUUCGGAUCGUAAAACUCUGUUGUUAGAGAAGCGGUAUCUAACCAGAAAGCCACGGCUAACUCCGUGCCAGCAGCCGCGGUAAUUC
rnacentral:rRNA from 1 species